CUACGGGGGGCACCAGUAAGGAAUAUUGCGCAAUGGAGGCAACUCUGACGCAGCCAUGCCGCGUGCAGGAAGAAGGCCUUAUGGGUCGUAAACUGCUUUUAUUUAGGAAUAAGCCCUCGCUCGUGAGCGAGGCUGAAGGUACUGAAUGAAUAAGCACCGGCUAACUCCGUGCCAGCAGCCGCGGUAAUACGGAGGGUGCAAGCGUUGUCCGGAUUUAUUGGGUUUAAAGGGUGCGCAGGCGGGCUAUUAAGUCAGUGGUGAAAUCCCGGGGCUCAACUCCGGAACUGCCAUUGAUACUGAUAGUCUUGAGUUUGGUUGAAGUGGGCGGAAUGUAGCAUGUAGCGGUGAAAUGCAUAGAUAUGCUACAGAACACCAAUCGCGAAGGCAGCUCACUAAGCCAAAACUGACGUUCAUGCACGAAAGCGUGGGGAUCAAACAGGAUUAGAUACCCCAGUAGUC
rnacentral:rRNA from 1 species